UAUUUAUUUUUUCCGUCCAAGAAAAAAUGUCUUGAGUUUAUCAAAAUUUGGAUGUAUCUAGACAUGACUUAGUGUAUAGAUGCAUUCAAAUUUAGUCAAAGUUGAGACAUUUUUUGUUGGACGGAGGGAGUAUUUC
rfam:Brachypodium distachyon strain Bd21 chromosome 3, whole genome shotgun sequence.